AAUGAACGCUGGCGGCGCGCCUAAUACAUGCAAGUCGAGCGAGAAGACGUAGCAAUACGUUUGUAAAGCGGCGAACGGGUGAGGAAUACAUGGGUAACCUACCCUCGAGUGGGGAAUAACUAGCCGAAGGUUAGCUAAUACCGCGUACGCUCCUUGGACUUCGGUUCAGGGAGGAAAGCGAUACCGUGGGUAUCGCGCUCUUGGUUGGGCUCAUGUCCUAUCAGCUUGUUGGGAGGUAACGGCUCACCAAGGCUUCGACGGGUAGCUGGUCUGAGAGGACGAUCAGCCACACUGGCACUGCGACACGGGCCAGACUCCUACGGGAGGCAGCAGUAAGGAAUAUUGCGCAAUGGGCGAAAGCCUGACGCAGCGACGCCGC
rnacentral:rRNA from 1 species